rnacentral:rRNA from 1 species
AUUGAACGCUGGCGGCAGGCCUAACACAUGCAAGUCGAGCGAGCGGCGGACGGGUGAGUAAUGUCUGGGAAACUGCCUGAUGGAGGGGGAUAACUACUGGAAACGGUAGCUAAUACCGCAUACCAUCAGAUGUGCCCAGAUGGGAUUAGCUUGUAGGUGGGGUAACGGCUCACCUAGGCGACGAUCCCUAGCUGGUCUGAGAGGAUGACCAGCCACACUGGGACUGAGACAAGGCCCAGCAUCCUACGGGAGGCAGCAGUGGGGAAUAUUGCACAAUGGGCGCAAGCCUGAUGCAGCCAUGCCGCGUGUGUGAAGAAGGCCUUCGGGUUGUAAAGCACUUUCAGCGGCGAGGCGUUACUCGCAGAAGAAGCACCGGCUAACUCCGUGCCAGCAGCCGCGGUAAUAC